rnacentral:lncRNA from 12 species
UAUAUCAUAAUGCAUAAUUCAUUAAAAGAUGUAAGUAUAUGUAAUAUAUAGUUUGAUGUAUCUGCUUUUUUAUGUCUUUUUAGCAUUAUCUGUCUAUAUUUAAGAAAGAGGAAGAAAUCUAAGGAUAUGUGCAUCUAAUAUUUAACUGCACAUUAGUUUGUUUGGGCUAUAACAACAUAGACUGGGUGGCUUAAACAACAGAAAUUUGUUUUCUUACAUUUCUAACAUCAAGAUGCCAGCAGAGUUGAUUUUGGGUGAGACUGCUCUUCCAGGCUGGCAGAUAGCCACGUUCUCAUUAUAUCCUUAUGUGACCUUUCUCUGUGUACACUCAGCGACAUGUCUCUAGUGUCUCUUGUUCUUGUAAUGACACCAGUCCCCUAGAAUAAGGACCCUACUCUUAUGACCUCAUGUAAUCUUAAUCACCUCCUUAAGACUCUAUCUCCAAGUAUAGUCACAGUCCAAGUUCAGGCUUCAACAUAUGAAUUGUGGGGAUAUACCAAUCAUUUCAUAACAAACAGGUGCAACCUUGGGUCUUAAAUCAGCUUUGAAAGGAAAUAGAGCAAGACGGUUUUACAGACUGAGGUAUGAAACAUUAAGUUAUUUAUUAAAUACAUUAUCAGCCGAAUUUGUUAAUUUGAGAUGCAUAAGUAUGUAAUUUAGGGACAUUAUAAUAAUGGUACAAUCCAGCCAAUUUGAUCCACUUCAUAAGAGUAAAUUAUGUACAUUUCUUUCCAAAUAUGUUUUUAGUAACCUGAUCUCGACAGCCUGAAAUCAGCCACAGUACUUUAAAUAAUAAAGAAGUUUGGAAAAAGCUAUAAAUCGGGGUUCCUCCAACACAUCGCUAUUUGGAGAACAGGGAGUUGAAGAAUUUAAAAACGUGUGCUUGUACAGAUAUAAUGUACUAAACAAAAAGGACAAGCUUCACAAAAGAGGAAAACUUUUAAGAGGUCAACAUCCCAACAAAUUGCACCUCAGCAAUAAAAUUUUUCAAUGCCAGUGCAACCUACAGAGAGUCAGUAUGUCAAAUUACCCUAUCAGAAUACAUUUUAAGACACUUUGCUCAUUUAUUCAUCAAAUAUUGAAUCAGGAAAUUCGUUCUUAACCUGUAUACUAUUUUUCCUGCAAUAAGAGUGAAGAAAGAAAGGAAAUAAAAAUUGCUAUGAAUGGAACA